rnacentral:lncRNA from 1 species
UUUAUAUAUGCUACAGCCAAUGACUAGGGGUGGGCAUUUGAAACCAAAAAUUGAAACUGAAACACGAAUUGAACCGCACUUAGCGGUUUGGUUUUACGGUUUUGAAACGGUUUCGAUUUCGAAACCGAAUCGCAACAAAGAAAACGGUUUGGUUUCGGUUUUGGUUUUUCAAAACCGCACCGAAACCAAAACCGAAACUGAAACCGCAUGGUAUGUUUUAAACUUUUAAUUAGUUCAACUAGGUUACUGGACUAUCAUCCAAUUUUUCACUUCGAGUCCUGAAGGUUGAAACUCAUCUUCAUCUUUUCCUUAAAAGUUAAAACUUAUCUUCAUCUCUCUCUCAAAACUCAAAACUCAAAACCCAUUGAUGCAUUGGAUGUUGUCUCAAUUUUAGUAGUUGUCAUUUGUUGCAGUUUUGGUACAUGUUAGCUGCUGUUUUUUGUUGCAGUUUUGUUGCAAUAUUAGACUAUAUGUGGUGACUGAUGUUGCAUAUGGCUAAUGCUACAUAUGGAUAUUAGACGAUAUGAGGUGACUGAUGCUGCCAGAUUUUAUGUUUCAUCUUUCCAUGGGAUUCUCUAAUAAAUCUAAUCCCUUAAUUUGAGGAAGAUUGACAUCUAGAUGCUGCCAAAUUUUAUAUUCCUCCUUUUUUGUAGUUUUGCCGCUGUUUGUUGUUGUUUUUGUUGCAUAUUCAUUCAUUAAUAUAUGAGGAAAAUAAGACCGUCUUAUGCAUAAAUAAGUGUAUAUUUUAAAUUGUACAUUUUUUUCUCAAAAACCAAACCGAAAUCG